CCGAAGUACAGGCCCUCUCGAGGGCUACACUUCCACCCUUUGUUAACUAUACUUUGUUGCUUUGGCGAGACGCCCUCGGCCACCGGCUCCGGCUGGUGAGUGCUCGCCAGAGAAAACCCAAACCCAAACUUUUUAGUGUCGUCUGAGAACCAAGUUUAAUUAUUUA
rnacentral:misc_RNA from 1 species